CCUACGGGUGGCAGCAGUGGGGAAUAUUGCACACUGGGGGAAACCCUGAUGCAGCGACGCCGCGUGAGUGAAGAAUUAUUUCGGUACGUAAAGCUCUCUCAUCAGGGAAGAAAAUGACGCUACCUGCCUAAGAAGCCCCCGCUACCUACUUGCCAGCAGCCGCGGUCUUACGUAGUGGGCGAGCCUUAUCCGGAUUGACUGCGUGUAAAGGGAGCGUAGAAGGCAGCGCAAGUCGGGAGUGAAAUCCCAUGGCUUAACCAUGGAACUGCCUUUGACACUGGCAAACUGGAGUGUGUGAGAGGAUAGUGGAAUUGCAGGUGUAGGAGUGAAAUGCGUAGAUAUCUGGAGGAACAUCAGUGGCGAAGGCGAGUAUCUGGCACAUAACUGACGCUGAGGAGCGAAAGCGUGGGUAGCAAACAGGAUUAGAUACCCGAGUAGUC
rnacentral:rRNA from 1 species